GGAGAGAUGGCCGAGUGGAUGAAGGCGCACGCCUGGAGAGCGUGUGGACGGGUAACUGUCUCGUGAGUUCGAAUCUCACUCUCUCCGCCA
rnacentral:tRNA from 4 species